UAGGGAAUCUUCGGCAAUGGACGAAAGUCUGACCGAGCAACGCCGCGCGAGUGAAGAAGGUUUUCGGAUCGUAAAACUCUGUUGUUAGAGAAGAACAAGGACGUUAGUAACUGAACGUCCCCUGACGGUAUCUAACCAGAAAGCCACGGCUAACUACGUGCCAGCAGCCGCGGUAAUACGUAGGUGGCAAGCGUUGUCCGGAUUUAUUGGGCGUAAAGCGAGCGCAGGCGGUUUCUUAAGUCUGAUGUGAAAGCCCCCGGCUCAACCGGGGAGGGUCAUUGGAAACUGGGAGACUUGAGUGCAGAAGAGGGGAGUGGAAUUCCAUGUGUAGCGGUGAAAUACGUAGAUAUAUGGGGGAACACCAGUGGCGAGGGCGGCUCUCUGGUCUGUAACUGACGCUGAGGCUCGAAAGCGUGGGGAGCAAACAGG
rnacentral:rRNA from 1 species